rnacentral:rRNA from 1 species
CUACGGGUUGCACCAGUGAGGAAUAUUGGUCAAUGGACGAGAGUCUGAACCAGCCAUCCCGCGUGCAGGAUGACGGCCCUAUGGGUUGUAAACUGCUUUUCUAUACCAAGAAACCUGUCUACGUGUAGACAGUUGCCGGUAGUAUAGGAAUAAGCAUCGGCUAACUCCGUGCCAGCAGCCGCGGUAAUAAGGAGGAUGCAAGCGUUAUCCGGAUUCAUUGGGUUUAAAGGGUGCGCAGGUGGGAUAGUAAGUCAGUGGUGAAAGCUUGCCGCUUAACGGUAAAACUGCCAUUGAUACUGCUGUUCUUGAGUAUGGUUGAGGUAGGCGGAAUGUGUUGUGUAGCGGUGAAAUGCAUAGAUAUGACACAGAACGCCGAUUGCGAAGGCAGCUUACUAAGCCAUUACUGACGCUGAGGCACGAAAGCGUGGGGAGCGAACAGGAUUAGAUACCCGCGUAGUC